CACGCGGAUAACAUGCCCUUGGGUGGGGGAUAACCUCGGGAAACUGAGAAUAAUACCCCAUAGAUCUAGAAAGCUGGAAUGCUUUUAGAUCGAAAACUCCGGUGCCCAAGGAUUGGUCUGCGGCGUAUCAGGUUGUAGUGGGUGUAACGGACCCCCUAGCCUAUGACGCGUAAGGGCCUUGAGAGAGGGAGCCCUGAGAUGGACUCUGAGACAUGAGUCCAGGCCCUACGGGGCGCAGCAGUCGCGAAAACUUCACAAUGGGGGAACCCCGAUGAGGGAAUUCCAAGGGCCAGCACAUUGUGUUUGGCUGUUCUCCUGGUCUAAAAACCGGAAAAGUAAGGCCGGGUAAGAACGGGUGCCAGCCGC
rnacentral:rRNA from 1 species